UCAAGGCCUCCUUAUGCAACUAUAAUGGAAGCAGAUGAGCCUGAGAAAACAGUGUGUGUUCCUUAGCCUCAGCACCAGUUAUUUGCUUAGCACACUUGACUCGAGCUGGAUAAGAAGCGUGAGUGUACAGCGAGGGUAUAGGUCACUGAUACUGUGUGCACACCAAGAUGCUGAAAAACUUUGGACCAUGUAUCUAGACUGUGGGCUGAGAGCAGCUGGGAGUGUCUCCUCUCCAGACAUGGAGCUCUGCCCUCCAGAGACACCAGCUGCUUCUUCUUCGCUGCAGCUGCUGCUUUGGCUCCUUUCGUUUCGUUUCGUUUUCACACUGUUUUAUCGUGACUUUAUCGUUGUGAGUGCAAUCGUGAUUUUAAAUGUGGUGUAGUACAAUACUUGAGAUUU